AAAACGACCCUUUUCAGGGUCACAUUUAGUCUAUUAGUAUUAAUUG
rfam:Aedes aegypti strain Liverpool supercont1.314 genomic scaffold, whole genome shotgun sequence.